GGGUGGUAAAUUUCAUCUAAAGCUAAAUAUUGGCCGGAGACCGAUAGCGCACAAGUAGAGUGAUCGAAAGGUUAAAAGCACCUUGAAAAGGGAGUUAAACAGCACGUGAAAUUGUUGAAAGGGAAGCGCUUGCGGUCAGACUCGGGCGCAGGGUUCAGCGGGUGCGUGUCACCCGUGCACUCCCUGCCGCCCGGGCCAGCAUCAGUUCUGACGGCCGGUCAAAGGCCCCCGGAAUGUGUCGUCUCUCGGGACGUCUUAUAGCCGGGGGUGCAAUGCGGCCCGUCGGGACUGAGGAACGCGCUUCGGCUCGGAUGCUGGCGUAAUGGCCGUAAGCGGCCCGUCUUGAAAAACACGGAC
rnacentral:rRNA from 1 species